CAAGGAAUAGUUUAAGUAAAAUUUUAAUUUUGGAGAUUAAAAAUAGGAGGGAUCUCUUUUCCUUGA
rnacentral:tRNA from 1 species